rnacentral:lncRNA from 1 species
CAUUAGAGUUUCAUAAUUUAGAUACACAAGUUCAGAAAAUUAGACUCCAGACACAUUUCAUCACAGUACACAGAUUCAUAAACAUAAGGUGCCCAAUUAUGCACCACAUGGUACACAUUGCACACUAAUAAGAAAACACACAAAAAAGCAAUGAUCUUCAGUAACUGGAUUAUUUCUUUCAUAAUCCAACUAAAAUAGUGAUCUGCAACACUUGUUCACAAUUCUUCAAUCCAAUUUUCUUCUCUAUUGCAUCCUCCAAACUUUCAUGUUUCUUUUGUAUCUUAUUAAUCAUGUCUGGAUAGUCUUCCUCCCAUCGCUAGAUGGUACGUCCAUAGCCAUUUUGCUGCCAGUGAACCAAACAAAAUACAAAUUAGUUCAAAUGCAGGUUAAACCAACCAAGGAAAUCAAAUUCAAUCCAACCUUGUGCUUCAGACAAUUGUAGAAAAUCCAUCCUUGAUAUCCAUGCUCAUCUAUACAAUCCUUGAGCUGUAAUAUAACAUAGCGACCACAAUCGAGGCACAAGACAAUAGGAAUGGUUGGAUUACACUAGUGCUUGAAUGUCCCCGACCAGCUCGAUUUGCCUUCCAUGGCGACGAUGAGAAUGGCUGGAGCGAUAGUGGAGGCCGUUGAGAUCCAAAU